UACGGAGGGUGCAAGCGUUUAUCCGGAUUCACUGGGUUUAAAGGGUGCGUAGGUGGGCAAGUAAGUCAGUGGUGAAAUCUCCGGGCUUAACCCGGAAACUGCCAUUGAUACUAUUUGUCUUGAAUACUGUGGAGGUCAGCGGAAUAUGUCAUGUAGCGGUGAAAUGCUUAGAUAUGACAUAGAACACCAAUUGCGAAGGCAGCUGGCUACACAAAUAAUUGACACUGAGGCACGAAAGCGUGGGGAUCAAACAGG
rnacentral:rRNA from 1 species